rnacentral:rRNA from 1 species
UAAUGGCAGGUCAGCAUACUGCCGUGAAUACGUUCCCGGGCCUUGUACACACCGCCCGUCACACCAUGAGAGUUGGGAAUACCCGAAGCCUGUGAGCUAACAUUUAUGAGGCAGCAGUCGAAGGUAGAAUCAAUGAUUGGGGUGAAGUCGUAACAAGGUAUC